rnacentral:misc_RNA from 1 species
UUGCCUUUGGUAAUGCGGGGUGUGGUUCGUUUGAUAGCGUUGUGUCUUGCAAACGUGAGUGCGUGUGAGUGGCGAUUGGGUUGUUUGGGCUGUUUGGCUCCUUGCUCAUGGUCUGGGAACCUCCAGCAUGCAACCGUUUUCAUGAGCGCCUUGCGGCGUUGGGCCUCGGUGUUCGCUUGUGGUUCUUGUGUUAUCUACCCAUUUAGUGGCAUUCGUGUGCCGCGAAGACCCGUUCCUCCCUUCCACAUGUUGAGGCUGGUGGGGGAUGUCUUAUCUGAUGCGUGUUCUAAGUUAGUUGUGCAAUGUAACGACUCACAUUGUUCCCUUGGAUGCGGUGCAUGCGAUGAGCGUUGGCUGGUGUUUGUGCCCCGUUUAGCCAUUGUGAUAUAUUGGUUGCCUUUGAAAGACACUCUGCCGUAGUGCCGGUCUUGCUAUCCCAUCGGUGGUGGCAGCACUUGCAGGUCGUGCAUUGUCGUCAAUGGAUGCUACCUGGUUGAUC